rnacentral:rRNA from 1 species
GAUGAACGCUGGCGGCGUGCCUAACACAUGCAAGUCGAGCGAAGCGCUUAAAUUAGAUUUCUUCGGAAUGACGAUUUUUGUGACUGAGCGGCGGACGGGUGAGUAACGCGUGGGUAACCUGCCUCAUACAGGGGGAUAACAGUUAGAAAUGACUGCUAAUACCGCAUAAGACCCCAGCUUCGCAUGAAGCGGUGGUAAAAACUCCGGUGGUAUGAGAUGGACCCGCGUCUGAUUAGCUAGUUGGUAAGGUAACGGCUUACCAAGGCGACGAUCAGUAGCCGACCUGAGAGGGUGACCGGCCACAUUGGGACUGAGACACGGCCCAGACUCCUACGGGAGGCAGCAGUGGGGAAUAUUGCACAAUGGGGGAAACCCUGAUGCAGCGACGCCGCGUGAAGGAUGAAGUAUUUCGGUAUGUAAACUUCUAUCAGCAGGGAAGAAAGUGACGGUACCUGAAUAAGAAGCCCCGGCUAACUACGUG